CUUGGGAUUGGGGGGGGGACCCUCAGCCCGGAUUGCAAGAGGGCGCAGGCCAGGCCGAGGGACCCCACCAGUGCACG
rfam:Myotis brandtii contig175395, whole genome shotgun sequence.